UGGUAUAAUUAUAUAUAUAUAUUAAAAUUUUCUUUGCUUAUCUACAGUAUACUUGGUUGUCUUUUGGCUUAUAUGGCCCUUAUAUUUUCUGUUGUUGCCUUUCUUUGAUUUGUUCUUAUUCUAAAUUGUCGAUUAUUGCCCUUCUACUUCCGUUUCUUUCUUUUUAGUCUUCUUUCUUUGAUUUGUUCUUAUUCUAAAUUGUCGAUUAUUGCCCUUCUACUUCCGUUUCUUUCUUUUUAGUCUUCUUAUAUUCCUUUUUUCCACAUACAUUGCUGACAUAUCUUUAUAUUUUCUACGUGUCUACUCCCCUGUCGUUUGUUGUCCACGUGCUUUUUUCUUCUUUCUCCCUCUUUCUUUUCCGUUUUAUUCUCCAAUUACAUCUAUCCAGAUACGCACUAGAACCCCCCUUACUUUCUACUGCUUUCUUGAUGCUGACCGACUCAUUCACAGUCACUACCGUCUGCCUCCUCCGACUUCCAACUGCAGUGUCCCUCCAGACGACUUCUUCAAAAACAACGACUCUUGGAGAUGAAACCCGCCGUCUGCCUCUAUGUGCUGAAGGAACCUGGGAUGGAACCAAGGUUUUAGUUUGGAUUUGAAAUCAAUCUACUGUUCUAUUUGGUCAAUAGAACAAAAAAGAAGGAGGCACAUGUCGAUAGUGAUGGUGACGGUGCCGACCACCGGAAAGUGCAGCGGGGGCGUCCAUCCGAUGGCUAUCAGAGGCAUCCGGGAACUGAGUCGUUGAAGGAAGUUGAUAUAAUCGAUUCCUCUAUACAAGAUCCAUUUCCAACGCUACCUGGUGGAGUAACGGGUGCAACAAUCAACUUUACAGUCCCGGUAAAAGUUUCAGUAUGACAGGUAAUGUCUUUAUUAUCCAUUAUUUCAUUGUGUUCCUAUAUUACAGAACGAUUUCUUUAAGUCAACAAUUUUGUUUUAUUUAUAUGUACCUAACCUCUGUUUCUGCUAUAUAGUAUAACUUCCGUCACUAUAAAUUCUUUACUUAUGUUAUAUUUUUGACUUCCAUGACUAUAACUUUUUUACUUAUGUUAUAUUUUUUGAAAAUGAGGUUUUUGUAUUUUUGGAUGCUUAUACUACUACAUAUUACAUCCAACAUACAGUCAAAUAAUGGUUUUGACAGUUUGACUCAACUGAACAAAUUGUUGAUAAUAGAUGAUCACAGCUAUUUUAAACACAGUGACUAUAUCAAAUCUCAAGACCCCAUAGCACACCUACUGGAUUCAUUGUACAAGCUUACAAAGUCAAAAGAGGAGGUUAUUCAAUCGCUAAUGCAUAUAUCAGGACGCUUACAACUUUUUACAGCACAUGUUAUCGUCUCUACUACCAAGAGAUUAUAUUUGUAAACUGUUCAUAUAUUUCUUUUUUUAUAUAUAUAUAUUUAUGUUAAUUCUGUUAUUUAAUUUUGAGCAGAUUUAGAAACCUCACUUUCAGGUUGUGUUAGUUGACUUCUUUUUUGUUGGAGUGAAAGGAUGGGUUAGUUGCUGGGGCAAUAAUGGUCAUUUCUACCGGAGAUGAAAAGGGUGUUCUCAUAAACUUUGUAUUUUGCUUUCAAGAUAUUGGAGUUGGGGUUCUUUCAGUCGAAACGAUUGACAAAUGGACCAACUACGAUGCUCAACAAAUGGAUGUAGUGGAAUAACAUAUAAAUGCCUUGAGAGAUCGGUGACUUAUUAGAGUAUCACCAUCAGAUGAGAUCCAAACUUCUUGAUGGAGGAUGACAAAGUGCAUUUUUAGGUUUCAAUUUAAUAAAUAGAAUUGUACUUUCAACUAUUAAUCUUUAAAACGUUGCAUUUAGUAGAUUUCUUUUAAAAGUAACAGUCUUAAAAGGAAAAUUUUUAAGUGUAGUGGUAUAGAUUGCGGU